rnacentral:ncRNA from 1 species
CCGGUUCCGGUUCACGCCCGAGCCCCCGCACCUGCGGUGGGCGCCGACGGCGACCCGGCGACC